rnacentral:rRNA from 1 species
AUUCCUACGGGAGGCAGCAGUGAGGAAUAUUGGUCAAUGGGCUUACGCCUGAACCAGCCAAGUCGCGUGAGGGAAGACUGCCCUAUGGGUUGUAAACCUCUUUUGUCGGGGAGCAAAAGCCGGACGUGUCCGGCUGUGAGAGUACCCGAAGAAAAAGCAUCGGCUAACUCCGUGCCAGCAGCCGCGGUAAUACGGAGGAUGCGAGCGUUAUCCGGAUUUAUUGGGUUUAAAGGGUGCGUAGGCGGUCCGUUAAGUCAGCGGUAAAAUUGCGGGGCUCAACCCCGUCGAGCCGUUGAAACUGGCAG